rnacentral:lncRNA from 1 species
GAUACGGUGGAAGGACCACCGUUUCUGGUGGUGAACCCGACUGCGCACGGCAGCGCCUCUCACUUCCGACGCAUAAACGACCGACAUGGCGGCGGUGAGUUGUAGGGUUGUACUUCAGGUGAAGUCCGGCCAUCUCCGGCGAAGAUCCGAUAAGUAUUGUAUUGUACUGCAUGUUAAAUUUUCAGUUAGAUCUGCUCUUGGUAUGUUGUUUGAGACUAUUUUUGGUAAUACAUAAUUUCGGCAAGAAUCCGGACCAAGGUUCGAUGAACGAAAGUCUACCUUCAUGUCUUGGAUAAUAAUCUGGGUAUAAUUUUGGUAGAUCGGGUAUGGAGCUCAUGGGAUGCCUCCGCAAAACAGUGUGGAAAUGAUAACACAAUCACAGAUUUGUUGAUUCACACUCAAAUUUCACAUAUUUUUUUUAUUGAUUUGCAGGCGAACGAGUCUCUGGAGACGGUGGAGUUGCAGCGGUAGACGACGCCAAACCGGCCUCUGCUCGAAAUUAUGGGUGUUUUGGUUAAGAUUCGCGUGUAUUCGUAUUCGAGAAGUUGAAAAGGAUAUUUGGUGUAUGAUGGAAUCACUUUGUUCAUCGAAAGGCUUCUCUUUACUUCUUUCUUCAUGUCAACUAUUGGAUUUGAAGAUAUAAAUUUAAAAUUGAAGACCGUGGAUGGUAAUUCAUCAUUAACAGCUGCGGUACUGUACCGGAGAGUUGAGCCGCUCACCAUCCGAUUCGGAUCGUCGAAAGGAAUACACCGGAGUUGAGAACCGACAUCUCCGGUUGAUGCGUUCACCGAUACAGCGUUUAAAGGCAAUCCGGCAGUCGUUUGCUGGUUAGACAACAUAUCGAAAGCCGAUAAGUGGAUGCAAUGGGUUACGACCGAGUUUAACCUUCCGACCACCGGUUUUUUAUCGGCUGAUCACCGUACAGAAAAACUAAGAUUCAACCUCCGUUGGUUCACUUGUGUAUCGAAAGUUGAUAAUUUAACGUGCUGGUUUCUAUACAUGAAACUAGACCACUAGAACAUAAUUUGUGAAUAAUUAAUUUUGUUAUUUUUUUAUGUUAGGUUCCGCUUUGUGGUCAUGCAACUUUAGCAGCUUCACACUUUGUGUUUGAGUCUGGAUAAGUGGAUUCUAACUCGGUUGAGUUCUCAACUCUGUCUGGAGUUUUGACUGAUAACCGGAUUCCGACUAACGAGAUCAAUGAUUCGGAACAUGGGCUUUACAUAGAGUUGGAUUUUCUGGUUGGGAGGGUUUCUGUUUUUAAAGAUGUUGAGGUUUCUGUGGUUUCGGAGAUGUUAAAUGGUGUUCCGGUUGUUGAUGUUUUGAUGAAGAACGCAUUUGAUGAUAUUGUUGUGGUGCUUUCAUCAGCGGAAGAAGUUGCGGAUUUCAAGCCGUAGUGUCAUAAGAUCAAAGAGGGUCCGGGUAGGGCGGUGAUAAUUACAGCACGGGCACCUGACGGGUCGGGAUUUGACUUCUAUUCGCGUGUUUUCGGCCCGAAGAUUAGGUUGAUGAGGAUCCGGUCUGUGGCAGCGCACAUUGCGCGUUAGCACUCUAUUGGCAUGAGAAGUUGGGGAAAUGUGAUUUUGUUGCAUAUCAGAUUCAAGCAGUGCUUCUAAGAUGGGGCGUCAAGAAUGAUAGGAAACCACAACAACUGAAAGCCGUCACUCAAGAAGCCAUGUCACCUAGGACCAUCUCUUUUGCUCAAGUCAUGUAACUAACAUCCUUAAUGUUAGUCGUAAAAACUGAAACCGUAACUAGAUGCUAACUUUUUUGGUUCAGCUAUGUAACUAAUUGUGUCGAUGUGACUGACUUUGUAAGAAUGGCAACCAUCUGAACAGAAAUAUAAAUCUAGACCCCGCCGCAUCGCGGCGGGUAACGCUUCUAGUUA